rfam:Chaetomium globosum CBS 148.51 scaffold_4 genomic scaffold, whole genome shotgun sequence.
GGCGGAAUGGCCGAGUGGUCUAAGGCGGAGGAUUUAAGUAUUUUCUUAGAUCUCCUCUUCUCGAGAGAGAGCGUGGGUUCGAACCCCACUUCCGUCA